rnacentral:tRNA from 1 species
GGAGAGAUGGCUGAGUGGUUGAAAGCACCGGUCUUAAAAACCGGCAUACGUUAAUAGCGUAUCUAGGUUUCAAAUCCCUAUCUCUCCGCCA